AUUGAACGCUGGCGGCAGGCCUAACACAUGCAAGUCGAGCGGAGCGGCGGACGGGAGAGUGAUGCCUAUGAAUCUGCCUGGUAGUGGGGGAUAACGUCCGGAAACGGGCGCUAAUACCGCAUACUAGCCGAUGAGCCUAGGUCGGAUUAGCUAGUUGGUGGGGUAAAGGCCUACCAAGGCGACGAUCCGUAACUGGUCUGAGAGGAUGAUCAGGCACACUGGAACGGAGACACGGUCCAGAGUCCUACGGGAGGCAGCAGUGGGGAAUAUUGGACAAUGGGCGAAAGCCUGAUGCAGCCAUGCCGCGUGGGUGAAGAAGGUCUUCGGAUUGUAAAGCACUUUAAGUUGGGAGGCGUUACCAACAGAAUAAGCACCGGCUAACUCCGUGCCAGCAGCCGCGGUAAUUC
rnacentral:rRNA from 1 species